rnacentral:rRNA from 1 species
GAUGAACGCUAGCGGGAGGCCUAACACAUGCAAGCCGAGCGGUAUUGUUUCUUCGGAAAUGAGAGAGCGGCGUACGGGUGCGGAACACGUGUGCAACCUGCCUUUAUCUGGGGGAUAGCCUUUCGAAAGGAAGAUUAAUACUCCAUAAUAUAUUGAACGGCAUCGUUUAAUAUUGAAAGCUCCGGCGGAUAGAGAUGGGCACGCGCAAGAUUAGCUAGUUGGUGAGGUAACGGCUCACCAAGGCGAUGAUCUUUAGGGGGCCUGAGAGGGUGCUCCACCACACUGGUACUGAGGAACGGACCAAGCUCCUACGGGAGGAAGAAGUGAGGAAUAUUGGUCAAUGGGUGCAAGCCUGAACCAGUCAUCCCGCGUGAAGGACGACUGCCCUAUGGGUUGUAAACUUCUUUUGUAUAGGGAUAAACCUACCCUCGUGAGGGUAGCUGAAGGUACUAUACGAAUAAGCACCGGCUAACUCCGUGCCAGCCGCCGCAGUAAUAC